rnacentral:rRNA from 1 species
GGCAGCUACCAUGCAGUCGAGCGGAUGACGGGAGCUUGCUCCUUGAUUCAGCGGCGGACGGGUGAGUAAUGCCUAGGAAUCUGCCUGGUAGUGGGGGACAACGUUUCGAAAGGAACGCUAAUACCGCAUACGUCCUACGGGAGAAAGUGGGGGAUCUUCGGACCUCACGCUAUCAGAUGAGCCUAGGUCGGAUUAGCUAGUUGGUGAGGUAAUGGCUCACCAAGGCGACGAUCCGUAACUGGUCUGAGAGGAUGAUCAGUCACACUGGAACUGAGACACGGUCCAGACUCCUACGGGAGGCAGCAGUGGGGAAUAUUGGACAAUGGGCGAAAGCCUGAUCCAGCCAUGCCGCGUGUGUGAAGAAGGUCUUCGGAUUGUAAAGCACUUUAAGUUGGGAGGAAGGGCAGUAAGUUAAUACCUUGCUGUUUUGACGUUACCGACAGAAUAAGCACCGGCUAACUCUGUGCCAGCAGCCGCGGUAAUACAGAGGGUGCAAGCGUUAAUCGGAAUUACUGGGCGUAAAGCGCGCGUAGGUGGUUCGUUAAGUUGGAUGUGAAAGCCCCGGGCUCAACCUGGGAACUGCAUCCAAAACUGGCGAGCUAGAGUACGGUAGAGGGUGGUGGAAUUUCCUGUGUAGCGGUGAAAUGCGUAGAUAUAGGAAGGAACACCAGUGGCGAAGGCGACCACCUGGACUGAUACUGACACUGAGGUGCGAAAGCGUGGGGAGCAAACAGGAUUAGAUA